rnacentral:rRNA from 1 species
GACGAACGCUGGCGGCGUGCCUAAUACAUGCAAGUAGAACGCACAGUUUAUACCGUAGCUUGCUACACCAUAGACUGUGAGUUGCGAACGGGUGAGUAACGCGUAGGUAACCUGCCUGGUAGCGGGGGAUAACUAUUGGAAACGAUAGCUAAUACCGCAUAAUAUUAAUUAUUGCAUGAUAAUUAAUUGAAAGGUGCAAUUGCACCACUACCAGAUGGACCUGCGUUGUAUUAGCUAGUAGGUGAGGUAACGGCUCACCUAGGCGACGAUACAUAGCCGACCUGAGAGGGUGAUCGGCCACUCUGGGACUGAGACACGGCCCAGACUCCUACGGGAGGCAGCAGUAGGGAAUCUUCGGCAAUGGACGAAAGUCUGACCGAGCAACGCCGCGUGAGUGAAGAAGGUUUUCGGAUCGUAAAGCUCUGUUGUAAGAGAAGAACGGGUGUGAGAGUGGAAAGUUCACACUGUGACGGUAUCUUACCAGAAAGGGACGGCUAACUACGUG